UGCCAAUGAUGCAUUUUAAUGCACGUAUUAUCAGAAAUAAUUAUGAUGAUUUGUAAUUGUCACUACCGCUGAGGCU